rnacentral:rRNA from 1 species
AGAGUUUGAUCAUGGCUCAGGAUGAACGCUAGCGGCAGGCUUAAUACAUGCAAGUCGAGGGGCAGCGCAGUGUAGCAAUACAUGGGCGGCGACCGNNAAACGGGUGCGGAACACGUACGCAACCUACCCAUACUGAUGAAUAGCCCUCCGAAAGGAGGAUUAAUCAUCGUAACAUAAUGAAGUGGCAUCACUUUAUUAUUAUAGCUCCGGCGGUUUUGGAUGGGCGUGCGCCUGAUUAGGUAGUUGGCGGGGUAACGGCCCACCAAGCCUGCGAUCAGUAACUGGUGUGAGAGCACGACCAGUCACACGGGCACUGAGACACGGGCCCGACUCCUACGGGAGGCAGCAGUAAGGAAUAUUGGUCAAUGGACGCAAGUCUGAACCAGCCAUGCCGCGUGAAGGAUGAAGGUCCUCUGGAUUGUAAACUUCUUUUAUAUGGGACGAAACCUCUUAUUCUUAAGAGACUGACGGUACCAUAGGAAUAAGCACCGGCUAACUCCGUGCCAGCAGCCGCGGUAAUACGGAGGGUGCAAGCGUUAUCCGGAUUCACUGGGUUUAAAGGGAGCGUAGGAGGGCAGGUAAGUCAGUGGUGAAAUCUUCGAGCUUAACUCGGAAACUGCCGUUGAUACUAUCUGUCUUGAAUACCGUGGAGAUGAGCGGAAUAUGUCUGUAGCGGUGAAAUGCUUAGAUAUGACAUAGAACACCAAUUGCGAAGGCAGCUCGUUACACGAAUAUUGACUCUGAGGCUCGAAAGCGUGGGGAUCAAACAGGAUUAGAUACCCUAGUAGUCC